AUUGAACGCUAGCGGGAUGCUUUACACAUGCAAGUCGAACGAGUGGCGGACGGGUGAGUAAUAUAUCGGAAAGUGCCCCGUAGCGGGGGAUAACUACUCGAAAGAGUCGCUAAUACCGCCUUCCAUUGGAGCUGCCGAUAUCGGAUUAGCUAGUUGGUGGGGUAAAGGCUCACCAAGGCAACGAUCCGUAGCUGGUGUGAGAGGACGACCAGCCACACGGGGACUGAGACACGGCCCAGACUCCUACGGGAGGCAGCAGUGGGGAAUUUUGGACAAUGGGGGAAACCCUGAUCCAGCCAUCCCGCGUGUAUGAGAAGGCCUUCGGGUUGUAAAGUACUUUUGGCAGAGAAGCGGUAUCUGCAGAAUAAGCACCGGCUAACUACGUGCCAGCAGCCGCGGUAAUAC
rnacentral:rRNA from 1 species